UUUAGCUCAGUUGGUAGAGCAUGAGACUCCUAAUCUCAAGCUUGUGAGUUUGAGCCCCACUUUGAGCAAAA